CGAAGAAAUAGACAUGGCGUGAUAUUGCUUCGGCUUAUCAAAUUUAAGGUCUAUAUGCGUUCUAGUAAAACUGAUGAGCCGAACCAAUAUCACUCUUGUAUGUUCCUUU
rnacentral:pre_miRNA from 2 species